GCAUGCCUACAACAUAGAGUUAAUACAAUGGAUUCCAUUAGAAAUCUACAGUUAAGUGCGCUUAGGCUAGAGUAGUACUGGGAUGGGUGACCACCCAAGAAUUCAUAAUGUUUAACAUGCC
rfam:Picea glauca, whole genome shotgun sequence.